rnacentral:rRNA from 1 species
AUUGAACGCUGGCGGAAUGCUUGACACAUGCAAGUCGAGCGGGGUGAUGGUGCUUGCACUAUCACUUAGCGGCGGACGGGUGAGUAAUGCUUAGGAAUCUGCCUAUUAGUGGGGGACAACAUCUCGAAAGGGAUGCUAAUACCGCAUACGUCCUACGGGAGAAAGCAGGGGAUCACUUGUGACCUUGCGCUAAUAGAUGAGCCUAAGUCGGAUUAGCUAGUUGGUGGGGUAAAGGCCUACCAAGGCGACGAUCUGUAGCGGGUCUGAGAGGAUGAUCCGCCACACUGGGACUGAGACACGGCCCAGACUCCUACGGGAGGCAGCAGUGGGGAAUAUUGGACAAUGGGGGGAACCCUGAUCCAGCCAUGCCGCGUGUGUGAAGAAGGCCUUAUGGUUGUAAAGCACUUUAAGCGAGGAGGAGGCUCUUUUGGUUAAUACCCAAGAUGAGUGGACGUUACUCGCAGAAUAAGCACCGGCUAACUCUGUGCCAGCCGCCGCGGUAA